GACAGAGGGGGCAAGCGUUGCUCGGAAUUACUGGGCGUAAAGGGCGCGUAGGCGGGAUGGUAAGUCGGUCGUGAAAUCCCUCGGCUCAACCGAGGAACGUCGAUCGAUACUACCGUUCUUGAGGAUUGCAGAGGAGACUGGAAUUCCCGGUGUAGCGGUGAAAUGUGUAGAGAUCGGGAGGAACACCGAUGGCGAAGGCAGGUCUCUGGGCAUUAACUGACGCUGAGGAGCGAAAGCA
rnacentral:rRNA from 1 species